AGAGUUUGAUCAUGGCUCAGAUUGAACGCUGGCGGCAUGCCUUACACAUGCAAGUCGAACGGUAACAGGUCUUCGGACGCUGACGAGUGGCGAACGGGUGAGUAAUACAUCGGAACGUGCCCAGUCGUGGGGGAUAACUACUCGAAAGAGUAGCUAAUACCGCAUACGAUCUGAGGAUGAAAGCGGGGGACCUUCGGGCCUCGCGCGAUUGGAGCGGCCGAUGGCAGAUUAGGUAGUUGGUGGGAUAAAAGCUUACCAAGCCGACGAUCUGUAGCUGGUCUGAGAGGACGACCAGCCACACUGGGACUGAGACACGGCCCAGACUCCUACGGGAGGCAGCAGUGGGGAAUCUUGGACAAUGGGCGAAAGCCUGAUCCAGCAAUGCCGCGUGCAGGAUGAAGGCCUUCGGGUUGUAAACUGCUUUUGUACGGAACGAAAAAGCUUCUCCUAAUACGAGAGGCCCAUGACGGUACCGUAAGAAUAAGCACCGGCUAACUACGUGCCAGCAGCCGCGGUAAUACGUAGGGCGCGAGCGUUAAUCGGAAUUACUGGACGUAAAGCGUG
rnacentral:rRNA from 1 species